CCUACGGGUGGCUGCAGUGGGGAAAUUGGACAAUGGGGGCAACCCUGAUCCAGCCAUGCCGCGUGUGUGAAGAAGGCCCUCGGGUUGUAAAGCACUUUCAGUGAGGAAGAACGCCUGGUGGUUAAUACCCAUCAGGAAAGACAUCACUCACAGAAGAAGCACCGGCUAACUCCGUGCCAGCAGCCGCGGUAAUACGGAGGGUGCGAGCGUUAAUCGGAAUUACUGGGCGUAAAGCGCGCGUAGGUGGCUUGAUAAGCCGGUUGUGAAAGCCCCGGGCUCAACCUGGGAACGGCAUCCGGAACUGUCAAGCUAGAGUGCAGGAGAGGAAGGUAGAAUUCCCGGUGUAGCGGUGAAAUGCGUAGAGAUCGGGAGGAAUACCAGUGGCGAAGGCGGCCUUCUGGACUGACACUGACACUGAGGUGCGAAAGCGUGGGUAGCAAACAGGAUUAGAUACCCUUGUAGUC
rnacentral:rRNA from 1 species